CGCCGCGGUAAUACGUAGGGGGCGAGCGUUACCCGGAUUCACUGGGCGUAAAGCGGGUGUAGGCGGCUCGGUAAGUCGGGUGUGAAAUCCCACGGCUCAACCGUGGAAUUGCGCCUGAAACUGCUGAGCUUGGGGCCGGUAGAGGGAGACGGAACUGCCGGUGUAGGGGUGAAAUCCGUAGAUAUCGGCAGGAACGCCGGUGGGGAAGCCGGUCUCCUGGGCCGCGCCCGACGCUGAGGCCCGAAAGCUAGGGGAGCAAACCGGAUUAGAUACCCGGGUAGUCCUAGCCGUAAACGAUGCCCACUAGGUGUGGGGGAUUAAUUCCUCCGUGCUGUAGCUAACGCGUUAAGUGGGCCGCCUGGGGAGUACGCCCGCAAGGGUGAAACUCAAAGGAAUUGGCGGGACCCCGCACAAGCGGUGGAGCGCGUGGUUUAAUUGGAUGCUGAGCCAAGAACCUUACCAGGGCUUGACAUGCAGGUGGUACCGACCCGAAAGGGGAGGGACCCCAUCCUUUUGGGUGGGGAGCCUGCACAGGUGGUGCACGGCCGUCGUCAGCUCGUGCCGUGAGGUGUUGGGUUAAGUCCCGCAACGAGCGCAACCCCUGCCAUUAGUUGCCAACGGUUCGGCCGGGCACUCUAAGGGGACUGCCGGCGACGAGCCGGAGGAAGGAGGGGACGACGUCAGGUACUCGUGCCCUUUAUGCCCUGGGCUACACACGCGCUACAAUGGGUGGUACAAUGGGUUGCGACCCCGCGAGGGGGAGCCAAUCCCUAAAACCACCCCCAGUUCGGAUCGCAGGCUGCAACCCGCCUGCGUGAAGCCGGAAUCGCUAGUAAUCGCGGAUCAGCCACGCCGCGGUGAUACGUUCCCGGGGUUUGCACACACCGCCAGU
rnacentral:rRNA from 1 species